ensembl:lncRNA
AUGGACGAAAACAAUAGUACUAAAAUUUUUGACUGUCAUGUUUUACUGUGUGGCACGAGUUUGUUGAAUACAUUGUUAGCAGUUUAUUUUUCUAUGCAUAACUACAAGGUUAUAAAUAUAGAUAAAAAUAAUUAUUAUGGUGACGUAAAUUGUUCUUUAAACUUUAACCAGUUUCAAGACAAAAAAAAAAAUCUUCAGAACUUUUAUGAAGAAUAUUUGCCCCUUUCUAUAAAUAUAAACAACCAGAAAAAGCAAGAGCUAAAGGAAAUUAUUAAAAAUUAUUUCGAAAUUUAUAGCAAUUCAUUUAAUAUUGAUAUUAAUCCCAAAAUAGUAUACAAUGAAAGUAACAUUGUCAAUUUAUUAGUGAAUUUAAAUGCACAUAUAUAUCUCAGUUUUGUGGGAAUCCAGAACUUUUAUUUAACUUAUAAAAAUAAUACCAAAUUUCAAAAUGACAUCAAAUUUCAAAAUGACAUCAAAUUUCAAAAUGACAUCAAAUUGCAAAAUGACAUCAAAUUGCAAAAUGAUAUCAAAUUGCAAAAUGACAUCAAAUUGCAAAAUGACAUCAAAUUACAAAAUGACAUUAAUCUACAAAAAUACCAUACCGAUACAAAAAGAAAUAUUGUUAAUACUGUAUAUAACAAAAAAGAAAUAAACAUUAACAAAGACACAAAUACAAUUAAUAAGAAGAUAAAUAAUACAUGUAUAAAAAAUGACGCACAAUCGUAUGAGUUAAUUUUAUGUAAAAUACCUCUAAACAAGUCUCAAGUUUUUUUAGAUAAAAAUUUAAGUUUGAUUGAAAAAAGAAUUAUUAUGAAUUUUAUUUAUAAAAACAUUAUUCAUGAUAAAAAUUACACGUUUUCAAAUUUUUCCAAUUAUAAUUUUGUUAAAACAGCAAAUAUAACACAACAAGAUAUACUCCUACAAAAAUUUGAUCAUUAUAAUAUACUACCUCAAAAUAAAAAAAAUAUCUCAAAUAUGCAUUAUGCUGAUAAACACAUAACUAAAUAUCAUAAUAACUAUAAAAAUAGAAAAGAAGAAGAUGAAAAAAAAUGUGAAAACUCUAUGCAUAUAAAUAUUUUAGAUUAUUUAAAACAGUAUAACAUUACAAAUAAGUUAACUGAUUAUAUUAUUUACGGAAUGGGUUUAUUUGACUUAGAAUUACAAAAUUGCGAUAAUAAAAAUAUUUCUGAAUAUUAUUUAAGUGGAUAUACAAAAAACAAAACAUAUAUUAUGAAUAAAAAAGAGUUUUUACAACGUUUUCAUAUUUUAAUAAAUUCAUUAAGUAAAUUUAGAUUACAAAAUUCAUUUGAAAAUGCCUUUAUUUAUCCCUUAUAUGGAUUAAAUGAUAUUAUAUAUGCUAUAACAAGAGUGGCCUGUUUAAAUUGUGCUACAUAUAUGAUUAAUAGAAAAAUUAAUAAUAUUAUAUAUACAAAUUCGAAUGUUCACGAUAAUCAUUAUGCAACAAAAAAUAAUACAUUAUUAAACUCCAGUUCUGUGUUAAUCAAAGAAGUUAUUUUAGAUAAUGGUUUUAUUAUUAGACCAAAAUUAGUUAUCUCAUCUGGAUCUAAUAUAAAUUUUGAAAAAAAAAAAAAACACCUUUUUGGUCUUCCUAAAAAAAAAAAAAUUAAAAAAAACAUAAAAAAAAAAACAACUUUUGAAAUUAUAACUAAUAGAUUGAUGGUAUUAAGUACGUAUUCACUUCUUGGAACAAAUGGACUUUCUUUUUACAUACAUAAACAACCAAAUCUGCAACAACAACAACAAAAAAACAAUUAUGAUAAUAUUGUACAUAUCUUACAGUUAGACUAUACUAGUGGCUCUUGUCCAAAUGGUUUUUUCUUAACAUAUUUUACGUUUUUAGAAAUUAAAAAAAAAAUAAUAAAUAAUAUUGCUUUAGCUUCCGUUUCUGACACAUCACUUUCAAGUGCAUCAUCACUAUCCGCACAAAGUACAACUCUACAUUUUAAUACAUUAUCACCUAAUUUGUCACCUCCCAUAACAAUUCACAACAAAAAAAAAAAAUUUAUAAAUCAUCAAGGCUCACAAAAACAAAAUAAUAAUCACGAAAACAAUCAAAAAUCAUUAAAAUGUUUGUACUUAUUUGAUAUAUUAAAAACAUUUGUUAAAAAACAGAAAGUUAGUACUAAUCUUACAUGUAAUUCCUGUUUACCUACCAAAGUUUCUUUCAAAGAUAACAUUAUGAACAAAAUCAUUGAUUUUUUUAACGAUCACGAAAGUAAUACUAAUAUUAAUAAUAAUAAUAAUAUUAAUAAUAAUAAUAAUAAUAUUAAUAAUAAUAUUAAUAAUAUUAAUAAUAAUAUUAAUAAUAAUAAUAAUAAUAUUAAU